UGACGAAAGCAGCUAGCCAGAGGGGAGCAUGGAGGAAGCGUGAGGUGGGGACAGUUUGAUGGAUGAAAAUGGCCACUCUCUCCCCCCUCUCCCCCCUCCUUCAAUGGCUGGAGAUAAGGGCAGGCCUGCAUUAUUGAAAUCCCACGUCUGUAAACCCAUCAAUAGCGGGUGACUGUGUGUGUGUAUGUGUGUGGCAUGCGUCUGGUGUGUGUUUGUGUAUGUCAUCUCCUGCCCAAGGCCCCCUCUCCUUUUUAUGUCGCAGCCAAGCUGUGUGGCUGGAAAGCCCAGGUGAGGCAGCAAGCUGUGUGGCUGGAAAGCCCAGGUGAGGCAGCAAGCUGUGUGGCUGGAAAGCCCAGGUGAGGCAGCAAGCUGUGUGGCUGGAAAGCCCAGGUGAGGCAGCAAGCUGUGUGGCUGGAAAGCCCAGGUGAGGCAGCAAGGUGAUUGCAUCUUUGUCAGAGCGCAGCGAGCAUUUCCCUGUGACAGAUGAAAGCCACUGGGGCCGUUGGAUUAUGAGUUAUGUUCUGCCUAGGAGACGAGCUGAGAGGAGGCAUUUGUUAUCAUUGCUCUGGCUCCGUGAUCCCAAACGGAAAUAUCAAAU
ensembl:lncRNA